rnacentral:rRNA from 1 species
UGCAUAUCAAUAAGCGGAGGAAAAGAAACCAACAGGGAUUGCCCUAGUAACGGCGAGUGAAGCGGCAACAGCUCAAAUUUGAAAUCUGGCUUCGGCCCGAGUUGUAAUUUGCAGAGGAAGCUUUGGGCGCGGCACCGACCGAGUCCCCUGGAACGGGGCGCCAUAGAGGGUGAGAGCCCCGUAUGGUCGGACGCCUAGCCUGUGUAAAGCUCCUUCGACGAGUCGAGUAGUUUGGGAAUGCUGCUCAAAAUGGGAGGUAAAUUUCUUCUAAAGCUAAAUACCGGCCAGAGACCGAUAGCGCACAAGUAGAGUGAUCGAAAGAUGAAAAGCACUUUGAAAAGAGGGUUAAAUAGCACGUGAAAUUGUUGAAAGGGAAGCGCUUGUGACCAGACUUGCGCCCGGCUGAUCAUCCGGUGUUCUCACCGGUGCACUCUGCCGGGCUCAGGCCAGCAUCGGUUCUCGCGGGGGGAUAAAGGCCCAGGGAACGUGGCUCCUCCGGGAGUGUUAUAGCCCUGGGUGCAAUGCCCUCGCGGGGACCGAGGUUCGCGCAUCUGCAAGGAUGCUGGCGUAAUGGUCAUCAGCGACCCGUCUUGAAACACGGACC